CUGGGCGUAAAGCGCAUGCAGGCGGUUUGUUAAGUCAGAUGUGAAAGCCCGGGGCUCAACCUCGGAACCGCAUUUGAAACUGGCAGGCUAGAGUCUUGUAGAGGGGGGUAGAAUUUCAGGUGUAGCGGUGAAAUGCGUAGAGAUCUGAAGGAAUACCAGUGGCGAAGGCGGCCCCCUGGACAAAGACUGACGCUCAGAUGCGAAAGCGUGGGUAGCAAACAGGAUUAGAUACCCUGGUAGUCCACGCCGUAAACGCUGUCUACUUGGAGGUUGAGGUUUUAGACUUUGGCUUUCGGCGCUAACGCAUUAAGUAGACCGCCUGGGGAGUACGGCCGCAAGGUUAAAACUCAAAUGAAUUGACGGGGGCCCGCACAAGCGGUGGAGCAUGUGGUUUAAUUCGAUGCAACGCGAAGAACCUUACCUACUCUUGACAUCCAGCGAAGCCUUUAGAGAUAGAGGUGUGCCUUCGGGAGCGCUGAGACAGGUGCUGCAUGGCUGUCGUCAGCUCGUGUUGUGAAAUGUUGGGUUAAGUCCCGCAACGAGCGCAACCCUUAUCCUUGUUUGCCAGCACGUAAUGGUGGGAACUCCAGGGAGACUGCCGGUGAUAAACCGGAGGAAGGUGGGGACGACGUCAAGUCAUCAUGGCCCUUACGGGUAGGGCUACACACGUGCUACAAUGGCAGAUACAGAGGGCAGCGAGACAGCGAUGUUUAGCGAAUCCCUUAAAGUUUGUCGUAGUCCGGAUUGGAGUCUGCAACUCGACUCCAUGAAGUCGGAAUCGCUAGUAAUCGUGGAUCAGAAUGCCACGGUGAAUACGUUCCCGGGCCUUGUACACACCGCCCGU
rnacentral:rRNA from 1 species